rnacentral:pre_miRNA from 1 species
UCUUAGGGAUGAGCAAAGAAAGUGGUUUCUUAAGAUAGAAUCUACUCCUGGGGCAGAUGCUGUGAA